rnacentral:ribozyme from 1 species
AGCCACCCAUGCAUGGAUUAUGUCUUUCACCCAUAUACAUUUAUUUAUUUUGUACUAGUACACCUCACUCACUCACUCAUGUGCACUCAUGGUUCCCUCAACAACCUUUCAGGUGCACCUUCCCUUCUUUCUUUCCUUCUACCAAAC